AUAAGCAAUUAUACGGCGAAACUGCGAAUGGCUCAUUAUAUAAGUUAUCGUUUAUUUGAUAGUACCUUACUACUUGGAUAACCGUGGUAAUUCUAGAGCUAAUACAUGCGCAAAACCCCGACUUCGGAAGGGGUGUAUUUAUUAGAUUAAAAGCCAACGCCCUCCGGGGCUUCUUGGUGAUUCAUGAUAACUCCUCGAAUCGCACGGCCUUGCGCCGGCGAUGGUUCAUUCAAAUUUCUUCCCUAUCAACUUUCGAUGUUUGGGUCUUGGCCAAACAUGGUUGCAACGGGUAACGGAGGGUUAGGGCUCGACCCCGGAGAAGGAGCCUGAGAAACGGCUACUACAUCCAAGGAAGGCAGCAGGCGCGCAAAUUACCCAAUCCCGACACGGGGAGGUAGUGACAAUAAAUACUGAUACAGGGCUCUUUCGGGUCUUGUAAUUGGAAUGAGUACAAUUUAAAUCCCUUAACGAGGAACAAUUGGAGGGCAAGUCUGGUGCCAGCAGCCGCGGUAAUUCCAGCU
rnacentral:rRNA from 1 species